rnacentral:rRNA from 1 species
AUGCAGUCGAACGGUGAACACGGAGCUUGCUCUGUGGGAUCAGUGGCGAACGGGUGAGUAACACGUGAGCAACCUGCCCCUGACUCUGGGAUAAGCGCUGGAAACGGCGUCUAAUACUGGAUAUGUGACGUGACCGCAUGGUCUGCGUCUGGAAAGAAUUUCGGUUGGGGAUGGGCUCGCGGCCUAUCAGCUUGUUGGUGAGGUAAUGGCUCACCAAGGCGUCGACGGGUAGCCGGCCUGAGAGGGUGACCGGCCACACUGGGACUGAGACACGGCCCAGACUCCUACGGGAGGCAGCAGUGGGGAAUAUUGCACAAUGGGCGCAAGCCUGAUGCAGCAACGCCGCGUGAGGGACGACGGCCUUCGGGUUGUAAACCUCUUUUAGCAGGGAAGAAGCGAAAGUGACGGUACCUGCAGAAAAAGCGCCGGCUAACUACGUGCCAGCAGCCGCGGUAAUACGUAGGGCGCAAGCGUUAUCCGGAAUUAUUGGGCGUAAAGAGCUCGUAGGCGGUUUGUCGCGUCUGCUGUGAAAUCCGGAGGCUCAACCUCCGGCCUGCAGUGGGUACGGGCAGACUAGAGUGCGGUAGGGGAGAUUGGAAUUCCUGGUGUAGCGGUGGAAUGCGCAGAUAUCAGGAGGAACACCGAUGGCGAAGGCAGAUCUCUGGGCCGUAACUGACGCUGAGGAGCGAAAGGGUGGGGAGCAAACAGGCUUAGAUACCCUGGUAGUCCACCCCGUAAACGUUGGGAACUAGUUGUGGGGUCCAUUCCACGGAUUCCGUGACGCAGCUAACGCAUUAAGUUCCCCGCCUGGGGAGUAC